UUUUAUUUGAUUCCAUAAGGAAGUUUCGCUAUCAUUCAUGUUUCUUCUAGUAUUUAUGUUCCAACUAUUGACCGUAGAAUUCCAAGCUUUUUUAAUAGUUUGAUCUUUAGAUAGAGAUAGGGCAAAAAGUCUUGCGUAUUUUAUGGAAAGGGGACCCUCUUGACUCCAAUCAAAAUGCCAAAAGGAGAUUUUCUCACCAUUGUUGAUUUCCCAAGCUUGUUUGUUUUCAAACCAUGCGAGGCUCUUGGUAAUAGAUCUCCAUGGUCCUCAAUUCGUACUGAAUUUUUCUUUUAUAGGGAUAGAAUCCACAAAGCUUCGUUGGUAUUUAACUUUAAUAAUCUUUCCCAAAAGAGCAUAAGGUUCCAUAUGGAAGCGCGAAAGCCGUUUCAUGAGCAGGGAGAAGUUUGUUUCUUUAAGCCUUGAAAUGCCUAAGCCACCUUCUUCUUUUGGCUUAGUGAUUUUGGACCAUUUGAUAAGGUUUUGUUUUGAUGGGAGACCGUCUGGAUGAGGAAUUUUUGGGAUUGUAGUAAUUGGUUUUAUUCCUCAGUGAGUUAAAAGACACUUUUAUUUUUGAAUUAGGCUUCAUUAAUGAAGUAUCUUUUUCCUUAUAUAUGCCAUCCUUUUUUUCCCUUAAUCCAAUGCCUCAUCAUUGAGUAUCUUCAAAGGCCCCAAAUUCACCGCAUCCAUGGCUUCUUCAUUCAAUGCUUUCAAAUUUUGUUUAUCUUCCGUUGAGAAUGGGGCUCCCUUGUCUCUAAUGGUAAUGAUGGACUUUAAUGAAACUAUCUUUUUCCAUUUAUUGUCUUUUCGGCUGUUAAAUUCAAAAAUUUCAGUGAGGUUGCCUUAUUUCCGUCGAAGAAGAAUUGUUCUGAUUCCAGGUUGAAUUCAUCAGAGGCUGCUGUUGCUUGUCUUUUGAAUGUUCCAUGAAGAUGAACAUCCCUUUCAGUGAGCCAUUAGAGCCCAUCAAAAUGAACUAUGAUUUAUAUGAUGAAUUUGUUUCCUUCCUUAUCAAAGAUUUUGAUAUUUGCAGCCAAAAAACCAGAGUAAUUGUACCUUAAUUUUACUCUUGCUUCGAUUAGAUUGUUACCUUCUUUUGUUUCUUCCCCAAUUUUGAUAAUCCUCCACAGGCCUUGCCAAUUUAUUGAAACGUUGAGAUGUUCUACAUAUGAAGUGGGAUUCCUCUGAAUUUGGUCCACCCUCCCUAACAUGGGAUUAGUUUUGGGGAGGCAUGUAGAGAGUGGGACCAUCUAUUGAUUUUGACAAAGUGUUUCCCAACUGUUGACCAUCCCCUAUUUUGACAUAGCAAGUUGACUAGAACAGCUUCUCUGAAGUUGAUUAUAGCAUUUUCAGAGUGUAACUGCGUGGUGACAUAUUUGAUGGUCAACGAUGCAAUAAAUGCUUGCCACUUGUUGAAAGAACACAUCCCUUUCACCAAGCUUACUAUUUGUGUGUGUUCCCCUUUGUAUGGAGAAAUUAUACUUAUUCCCUUAUGGAGAAAUUAUACUUAUUCCCUUAUAUACCUCAAAUAUUUGGGUUUCUCUAUAUAUGGAUGUCAUUGAAUGUGCUAAAGCUCUUUCUCCCACCUUUUAAGCUUUCUCAUUGCAUAUUUUGUAUAAACAUCUCUCCAGUAGAGUGCUUCACUUAUCUUGUCUCUUCAAUGUUCAAAAUACAGAAGUUGUGCAAUAAAAUGUCAAUCUAAUCAAAGAAGUUAUGAGUAA